AUUAAAACUUCUACACCUAACCUUUUUUCUUAAUCCAACAUCGAGGUCGCACUCUUUUUUAUCAAUAUGAACUCUCCAAAAUAAUUACGCUGUUAUCCCUAAAGUAACUUAUUUUAUAAUCAUUAAUAAUUAUUCAAUUAUUCAUAAAUUAAUGAAAAAAUAAAUAUAAAAGUUUAUUAAAUUUUACUAUCACCCCAAUAAAAUAUUUUUUAAAAAUAACAUAAAUAUUCUUUAUAAUAAUAUUUUAUAAAAAUAUAAAGAUUUAUAGGGUCUUCUCGUCUUUUAAUAAUAUUUAAGCUUUUUUACUCAAAAAUAAAAUUCAAAUAAUUUUUAUAAAAAAACAGUUAAUAUUUCAUCCAACCAUUCAUUCCAGUUCUCAAGUAAAAAACUAAUUAUUAUGCUACCUUUGUACAGUCAAUAUACUGCAGCCAUUUAAAUAAUCAGUGGGC
rnacentral:rRNA from 1 species